AGCUCUGCGCAGUGGCAGUAUCGUAGCCAAUGAGGUUUAUCCGAGGCGCGAUUAUCGCUAAUAGAAUUUGAGGUUCAUAUUUUUAAGUCAUAGCCCUGGUAACAAAUAUUUUAAAUAAAACCAUCAGCAUCCCGUUACAUUUGACAUUUCCCUUGCGAUUUCUUACACAAUUUU
rnacentral:snRNA from 1 species